rnacentral:snRNA from 1 species
AUACUUAACCUGGUAGGGGCGAUACCAUGAUCACCAAGGUAGGUUUCCCAGGACGAGACUUAUCCAUAUGGGUUGACCCCUGUGAUUUUUCCAAAUGUGGGAAACUCAAUUGCAUAAUUUGUAGUGGGGUGGACUGUGUUCACAUUCUCCCC